CUAUUUAAACACACAUGAAUCUUUCUCUAGGAUAGACCAUGUGCUAGGUCAAAAAACAAGUCUUUUAAAGAAGUUUUCAGUUCCAGUAUCAUUAAUAUACAGUCUUACAUUAGUUUAGGUGUACAGUAUAGUGACUCAACAAUUCUGUACGUUACUCGGUGCUCAUCAUGCUGUCCACGUGACACCAGAAGCUACCGGUUCUCUCAGGGCAAGUAGUUUAUUCUUCUCUUUUUGGCUUCCCUUCGCUGGUUCAGCCACGUCAGGGAGGUGACCUCGCUGCUGGAGUCGAGGGAGCAGCUCUACCUUGAAACUUGUUACUGAAGAUGUAACACAUGGCAGGCACCGAGCUGGGUCUUGGGGAGAAGUUGGUGAACACAGCCCAUGUGACCCCUCCUCUGUGGACCUUAUGGGCUCAUCAGACAGGUGAACUCAAGGAAGACUUCACAGGCUUCACGUGCUCUACUUUAAGGAGGAUGAUACAACUUUAGGGAAGCCUUCCUAGACGAAGGGAAAUUGAUAGGAAAGAAGGGGAAGAGUAUUAGGCAGAGUUUCAAGGAAGAGCAAUUGAAUAAGCUCAAUGAUAUGAGCAUAUUAUGUGGGGACUGGGUGGGAGGUUGGAACUUCUUGAAAUCGAAGGUCCAUGUUGUGUAGCUGGAGAGUGAAGAGCCAUGAAAACCAAGUCUUGGAGAAGUCGAUCCUUGUUCUAGUGGGAUUCAUCAUUGCACUUUCCUUUUGCUCCCUAAGUGUCAAUAUAAGAUGAAACUCUUCUUGAAAGUAGUGAUGCUCAAUCUUUUCCCCUCAUGACACACGUUUCCAUGCACUCUACUCUAUGAGCAUUACCGACUUCUGAAGGUUAGACUACAGCAUAGGCCCCCAGUUAUGCGCCAGCUUUACCGUGGUGGCCUUCAUGACCAAUCUCUGUGCAGUGUGUCUGGUUACCCCAGCUGAAAACCCCGCUGGUGGUGGUGGUGGUGGUAAAGUAGUGUCCAGCAGCGGGCGGCAGGAGCUGGGGGCGAGAGUGCUAGAGCUCCAGGGAGGAGCAUUCUCACCUACUAGACCAGAGCCAGCAGACAAAUCCAGGUCCGAGAGUGAAGUAUAAAUACAAACACCGAGGAUUAUGGUCAGAUUCAAAGACUGGCUUUAUUGUGUUCCCAAGAGAGAGAAAGGUGGUUGAGGACCAUGGAGGACACACCGGCUUCCCCUCCUCUCAAGAUUUGAAACAAGCUUGACUCAAGGAUGCAAGGAGUCAGCCUGGAACAAGUGGGGAAAUGGUCCUGGUACAAGUGAGGCAAGGCUUGGAGGCAAGGGCUUUCCAUCUUUACUGGUGUGUUACUCUCUGCUCUCCCCCAUUUUUGACUGUGUGGUCCUGAGUUGACAAUUAAGCACACCUUAGCGUAUUUCCUUAUUUUUAAAAAUGGAAUUAUUAUUGGCACAUGGAAGGAACUUAA